rnacentral:rRNA from 1 species
GAUGAACGCUGGCGGCGUGCCUAAUGCAUGCAAGUAGAACGCUGAAGCUUGGUGCUUGCACCGAGCGGAUGAGUUGCGAACGGGUGAGUAACGCGUAGGUAACCUGCCUCUUAGCGGGGGAUAACUAUUGGAAGCGAUAGCUAAUACCGCUUAAAAGUCGAUAUCGCAUGAUAUUGAUUUGAAAGGUGCAAAUGCAUCACUAAGAGAUGGACCUGCGUUGUAUUAGCUAGUUGGUGAGGUAACGGCUCACCAAGGCGACGAUACAUAGCCGACCUGAGAGGGUGAUCGGCCACACUGGGACUGAGACACGGCCCAGACUCCUACGGGAGGCAGCAGUAGGGAAUCUUCGGCAAUGGGGGCAACCCUGACCGAGCAACGCCGCGUGAGUGAAGAAGGUUUUCGGAUCGUAAAGCUCUGUUGUAAGAGAAGAACGAGUGUGAGAGUGGAAAGUUCACACUGUGACGGUAACUUACCAGAAAGGGACGGCUAACUACGUG